ACGUGCGGGUGUUGUCGCACACUUCCGGUGCCAUGACCCGUUCGACGGAAUGUUGCGCCACCACAUACAAGCGUGAGGUGCGGUCAAGACAGCAGCAGCCGGUGCUUUCUAUCCACUUCUCACUUCUCCUUUCAUGCGAGAUGCGACCUUGUUAGUAAUCUUGUGCAUGUUAGAUAGGACUGCAUGUUUGUUUUUCAAUUGAUGCAUGCGCACGAGCACCGGGCUGUGGCUGCCGUGCGCGUAGGAGGUCGUGGCGCGAGACUCGCUCGUCCACGAACCUGGGCAUGCAAGCAUGGCUGCCAUUGCGGAGGCGUGGGGAUGGACGCGCUGAUUUCCCGCACGGAUACGCUGUGAUCGUGCUGCUCUCCUGUGCUCUCAAAUAAGAUGAGAAAGCUAAGAACAGAAAACGCUGCCACUUCAUCGCAGCACCAAACCUAUGUGUCCAAGUGUUUUCGUGUGAGUUCGUGUUCACCACUG
rnacentral:lncRNA from 1 species